GCGACGACGGGUAGCCGGCCUGAGACGGCGACCGGCCACACUGGGACUGAGACACGGCCCAGACUCCUACGGGAGGCAGCAGUGGGGAAUAUUGCACAAUGGGCGAAAGCCUGAUGCAGCGACGCCGCGUGAGGGAUGACGGCCUUCGGGUUGUAAACCUCUUUCAGCAGGGAAGAAGCGAAAGUGACGGUACCUGCAGAAGAAGCGCCGGCUAACUACGUGCCAGCAGCCGCGGUAAUACGUAGGGCGCGAGCGUUGUCCGGAAUUAUUGGGCGUAAAGAGCUCGUAGGCGGCUUGUCACGUCGGUUGUGAAAGCCCGGGGCUUAACCCCGGGUCUGCAGUCGAUACGGGCAGGCUAGAGUUCGGUAGGGGAGAUCGGAAUUCCUGGUGUAGCGGUGAAAUGCGCAGAUAUCAGGAGGAACACCGGUGGCGAAGGCGGAUCUCUGGGCCGAUACUGACGCUGAGGAGCGAAAGCGUGGGGAGCGAACAGGAUUAGAUACCCUGGUAGUCC
rnacentral:rRNA from 1 species